GGUGGUUUAGCUCAGUGGUAGAGCGCUUGCCUAGGAAGCGCAAGGCCCUGGGUUCGGUCCCCAGCUCCA
rnacentral:tRNA from 1 species